UUAAGGGGACCUUUAUUAGCGGCGACCUAGAGGCAGCUAACGCUCAAAAUUCUCUUGGCCCUGAGGAAGGGGCUAGUUUUGUUUUUAUACCGUGGUCUAAAUAGGGGAGGGGGGAGUUUAGCUGAAGCAAUUUUACAGAAGCAGAAUAGGCAAAAAGUUAAAAAAAAUUUGUUAUAGAUGCAGUUACAAAAAAUAAACAGUUCCAGGUGCAGGGGCUUAAACUAUCACUAAGAGAGAAACGCAGGGGCUUUUAAGUACUUUCCACCGAGCACAUUCCCAGGAGCUGCUGGUACAGCCUGCCUCAAUAUCUUAUCAGCAGGUGUAUUCUUGGAUGUGCUUGGAGUCAGCUUGCACUAGUUAUUCCCUUAAGGGGGAUAAAGGGGGCUGCAAGUGAAGGAACUAAAAUGGAGUCUGUCCGGCUCUCUCUGCUAGGAGAGAGUCACUCAGGUUAAAACAAGGUAGGGUAUCACAAAUGAUGGACUUAGACGGAAAGUCUGUCCUCCUAAAAGUAGCUAGGCACAGAGAGAAACAUUCCCUGUUCAGCUGGCUGAGACUUCCGCUAAUUACAAGAAAAAAAAACCCUGCCCCAUGAAUCUCCCCACUGAAACCGGUCUACUCCUUCCUAUGAAAGUAAAAGACACCCCCGCCCCGCCCCGGUUACCCCAGCAGGGGGAUUUCCACUUCUGGGGUGCUCUCCCUAAGGCAGUAGCCCGAAUAAUUUCAAUGUAUUAGAUUGUUUGGUUUCUGUCUUUACCAAGGUGCAUUUAUCAUUCAUGCAAAAACAGUAAAAAAAAAAAAAAAAAAAAAAAAAAAAAAGAGCACGUGUCGGUUCUCAGCGGCGCGCCCUAACUCAAAACUCCCAGCCAAUCACAGAAGUCAGCCACCUCCCAACGCUCCAGCCCAGUUCCCACAUCCCUCACCCGGGAAGUCACGUCCGCUACAGGGAGUCUCUUCCCAUGGCCUCCGGAAGCAUUCGGCAGUCCACGAGCCACGCUUCAGAGAGGGCCGCUACGGGAACGCCGCGGCGCACCUCCGGAAGAGAUGACCUCCACGCCUUCUCCUCUCGCAGCCCACCCGAGCGGCGUCGGUCGCGAGAAGCCACCCAACCGCUCCGUCUUCCGGCUCCGGCGGUCCGCGGCAGCCAAUCAAAGGUUCAGUUUCUCAGCGGCGUCGCAUCCCUGUGAUGUGAACACAUCCUCGCCGACGCCCCCUUCCGCGCUGCGGCGCCUCUAGCCCGCCGGAGGGCGGCUCCUCUCGAUGGUCUUAACCCUUCAAUUACGAGCGGGCGGCGCUGCGUUUCCAGGGUAGAGGAAACGAGGCGCCGCGUUGGCGCUUGGACGGCGGGAACCGGCUCCGGAGCGAGAACGCGCGUGAGAGAGCCCGAGAGAAACGGAGAGCGAGCGAGCGCGCGGGAGAGACUGAGAGCAGGGGGGUGGGAGAGAGACUUCCAGAGAGACAGAGCGAGAGGCCGAGACCGAGGCUGUCCCUAGAACAGGCCAGGGUGUCUUGGGACUCGAAUCCCUGGGUUGGGCUGGCCGGGAGUGGGGCUUUCGAAGGAAGCGGGUGAUUUUCCACGUCGUCCAUAUCUCCCCGGUGUGGGAAUGGCGGUCGUGCACUCUGGGGGUGGCGUUGUUCUCGUUCCCUACUUGGGGGUGGCCUUUUUCAGCGGAGAAAAAGGAUGCCGCGGGCAUUGGUAGUCGGCGGGACUACACUUGGGCUAGGAUCAGUGUUCAGAGCGUUCAGAUAUCACCGUGUCCUUGGCAUCACCUCCCUCCCCACCUCCUCUCCCAUCGCACAGCAGGAGACAGUGACUGGAGGGUUUUCAAGGAGGACUACAUUGCCCCUAUUGAAACAAACCGUCCGACAAACCCUUUUUCCGACGUGUAACAGAGGGACGGUCGUAAUGUGAAAUACGACUAGACAUGCGUUUAAAGGGCGGUGUGAUUGCUGCAUUCGUGCGCAAUGAAUGGUCCAGGCCAUUUAUGUCCAGUAGCCGCACAAGCUGCAGGGUCUCAUGUUUAGAGAAGGAGGGCCUCUCCGCCGUCCACUUUGCUGGAGUACAGGCGACCCUGGGCGGUAGCCCUCUCCGCCAUCAGAAAUGUGGUGCUCUGAGUAGCCACAGAUUUCCAUCUGCAUCUCCAAUACCAUUUCCCUCUACUCACUGACCCGUUGGGUGCGUUGGAUUUGUGCGUGGGUGUGAGGGUAGUUUGGUGUGUUUGCUCGCAAAUGGAAAAGUGAAUGGCCUUGGUUGGCUGAGCUUAUCAGGGCACUAGCAGUGGAGAGAGAAAGGACUACUGUAUUCUUAGGAGCAGAAUCUCAACAACUUCCUGUAAAACGGGCAGUGUGUCUUACCUGGAAUGCUUUGGCAUUUAAUAAAAUGUCCUGUGAAUACUUUUCAUAGGGAAGCACUGUUUUUACUGUUUCUGGUUGGACAGUGGUUACAUUUCAAAUCGUAGUUCAGAAUUCGCGCAAUACCCAAAUUAAAUCUCUACGUGGCAGUAAUCCAUUUUCUUUCCUUAGUGUGUGGUUGGAAGAUUAAUUUGAGUAAGUGUUCAGUUCUGGGCUGGGCAAUCGUGCCGGGCACGGGAAAUUUAGGUUCCUUAAGGGAAAGGCCUGAUGUGCUAAAAUGAAAUCUAAACUGUAUUUAGCCGCUUAUGACAAUAUGAAGGUAAGGAGAGCCACAGGUAAGUAUAUGUCUGUGAAUGCGAAUUAAAACGGGUGACAAUAUAAAGAGAGAUUGGUGUCACAAAUGGUGAAGUGGCUUUUGUAUUUCAGCAGACCUCAGUGAGAAAUGGUCACCACCACUCCCUAGAUGUGUGACCUUGAGUGAGUUGCUUAACCUCUCUGAUCCUGUUACAUCAUCUGCAACUGGGGAUGACGAUAUAUAUCAUAGCAAGCCCUGGGAGAAGCUGUUCCUGGCCACCUGGGCUAUGGUGGUUUUGACUUCUGUGUCAGAAGUACCCCCGUCUCAUGCCUACCAUAGUUGUCUUUUUGUUUUGUUUUCUUUUGCGGGAUGGUCUCACCUGUCACCGAGGUUGGACUGCACUGGCCUCAACCUCCUGAGUUCAAGUGAUCGUCCCACCUCAGCCUCCCCAGUAGCUGGGACCAUAGCUGUGCAGCAUCAUGCCUGGCUAAUUUUUUAAAUUUUUUGUUGAGAUGGUGGUCUCGCCCUGUUGCUCAGGCUAGCCUCAAACUCCUGGGCUGAAGCAGUCCUCCCACCUCAGCCUCCCAAAGUGCUUGGAUUAGAGGCGUGAGCCACCAUUCCUGGCUCCUUGGACAAUAUUUUAUUUCUCAGAUUAAGACACGUCCUUGGGAUGGGGCUGCAUUGGAUAAUUCACUGAAGGCACCGCUGAAUGGAGUGGGCCCUCAGUAAAUACCUGGAGGAAUGUGACCUGGCCAGUGAGGUUAUUUUCUUUUGUAGGUGAAAGGUGUAGCAGUCACUCGGCCUACACCCACAGCAUCGACCUUGUGAACCCAGCGACCUGACUGCCUUGGGAGAAUUGAAGCGAAUGAGAGUGGGGAGUGUGAGAGGUGUGUUCGGUGCAGCAUUUCUGGCAUGGGAGCAGAACUGGUCAGGAGGAAGUGACGUCUGGGUUCUGCCCGCACACAUUCCUCGCUACCUUCUUGGUGUCUGAGAACCUCCAGCUUCACCUCCUUUUCUGGACCUGGCGGAGCUUCCAGCUGGGACCAGACCUCCAUGGAUCCACUCCAGAAACAGAAUCCAGCAUCGCCUUCCAAAUCUUCCCCGAUGACAGCUGCAGAGACUUCCCAGGAAGGUCCAGCGCCCUCUCAGCCUUCAUACUCAGAACAGCCGAUGAUGGGCCUCAGUAACCUGAGCCCCGGUCCUGGCCCCAGCCAGGCCGUGCCUCUCCCAGAGGGGCUGCUCCGCCAGCGGUACAGAGAGGAGAAGACGCUGGAAGAGCGGCGGUGGGAGAGGCUGGAGUUCCUUCAGAGGAAGAAAGCAUUCCUGCGGCAUGUGAGGAGGAGACACCGCGAUCACAUGGCCCCCUAUGCUGUUGGGAGGGAAGCCAGAAUCUCCCCGUUAGGUGACAGAAGUCAGAAUCGAUUCCGAUGUGAAUGUCGAUACUGCCAGAGCCACAGGCCGAAUCUUUCUGGGAUCCCUGGGGAGAGUAACAGGGCCCCACAUCCCUCCUCCUGGGAGACGCUGGUGCAGGGCCUCAGUGGCUUGACUCUCAGCCUAGGCACCAACCAGCCCGGGCCUCUGCCUGAAGCGGCACUCCAACCACAGGAGACAGAGGAGAAGCGCCAGCGAGAGAGGCAGCAGGAGAGCAAAAUAAUGUUUCAGAGGCUGCUCAAGCAGUGGUUAGAGGAAAACUGAGACGUGCACCCACGUGGGAUGGAGACCCGAAGGGACUCAGACGGAGCCGCCGUGUUGGCAGCGCCUGGGUGUGGGCCCAUUUUGGGGACCAAACAGCAAGCUGCGGUCGGAUGAGUGCCAGGACCUGUGUACCGGGACACGUGGGAAUCCUCCCAGCGUGAUGCUUGACCGACCCGAGGAAGGUCCUCAUCUUUCGUGCCUGUCAUUCUUGGAUGGCUGUGAGGCAUUCCUUGGCAAGGGACGCUGCGUACCAGCGGUCCUCGCCACGUCUCACAUGGCUCCUGUGAUGCAUGUUGUUGCUUUCCCACCCGGGAUCUCCAUCUCUCGUCCCUUCCUGCUGUCAGUAAGAGAUCACAUGUCUGUGUAGUGUGAAUGCCUUGUCGCUGUCCUGUGCUUUUGCACCAUUGAGUUGACUGCCUCUGAGAAGCAGCACUAGGCCUGUUGAAAUGCAAUGUGCUGCCUUGAGAUCCAGUUUCAAGAAUGGGCAGGUAAACGCAGUGUGGGAAAGGAAUGUGGAAUGAGAACUUGGUGGUUCACCGCUAUACUAUUUGUGUAAAUGUUUAUGUAUGUGAUAAGCUACAUGUAUGUAAAUGUUGCAAUACCCCUAACAGUCGAGUAGUAGUCUCCCUUACAGGAAUUUUUGACGGGGUUCCUCAUCAUCAAUACCAAAUAAAUACAUGUAGGAAUGGAAAAUGGGUGUAGAAUUCAGGUUUGUUCCUCAGUAUUGGUUUGUUUCUCAUUAGAUCUGAGCUGGCUACCUUGAAAUCUCCCAGCAGGGGAUCCGGGUUUAUUGAGGGAAGCUCUGCGCUGUGGAGACUGGGAACGGGGGAGGGAGGGCACCAGAGAACACAGCCCAGUCACUGUUUGAGCCCUGCAGCGGGACCAGCAUCCAGACCAGCGAGGCAGGGCCAUGGCUUCGAAGAGAGGCUUCCUGUGCACAGGAGACGUGGAAGCAGAGUCCGCCGCCCACGGUAGUCCCCAGAGCUGUCUUGCUGCAAAAGUCUACGCAUCUCCUGCCGACAGAAGUGGCUUGAAAACAGGUACGUGAAGUUUGUGGCAAGCAAAUUAUACCUUAGUAAAGCCAUUUAAAAAAUGUAGUGCAAGUGUGACCGUAAGUCACGGAGGAAAGAGUAUGCAGUCAUUUUUUUCUACAACAGUAAGCAACAUCCCCUCUCUUUCCCUGUUCCGCGUCCUGCCUACAUGUCCUGCCUGGUCGCCUGGCCCCUCCACGUGCACUUGAUGCUCCAGCCAGAUAGACUGUGCACACCUGGGCAGAGGGAGUGCUGAAUCGAAUGCUUGUGACUGCAGUUUUCCCAAGGUAUCACAGAAGUGGUCUGGAGGCUCUUCAAGGAGAACUACAAACCACUGCUGAAGGAAAUAAGAGAGGACACAAACAAAUGGAAAAACAUUCCAUGCUCAUGGAUAGGAAGAAUAAAUAUCGUGAAAAUGGCCUUACUGCCCAAAGUAAUUUAUAGAUUCAAUGCUAUCCUCAUCAAGCUACCACUGACUUUCUUCACAGAAUUGGAAAAAAACUACUUUCAACUUCAUAUGGAAUCAAAACAGAGCCCGCAUAGCCAAGACAAUCCUGGGCAAGAAGAACAAAGCUGGAGGCAUCACACCACCUGACUUGAAAGUUUACUACAAGGCUACAGUAACCAAAACAGCAUGGUACUGGUACCAGAACAGAGAUAUAGACUAGUGGAACAGAACGGAGGCCUCAGAAAUAAUACCACACAUCUACCACAUCUGAUCUUUGACAAACCUGACACACACAAGCAAUGGGGAAAACAUUCCCUGUUUAAUAAAUGAUGUUGGGAAAACUGGCUAGCCAUAUGCAGAAAACUGAAACUGGACCCCUUCCUUACACCUUAUACAAAAAUUAACACAAGAUGGAUCAAAGACUUAAACGUAAGACCUAGGACCAUAAAAAUCCUAGAAGAAAACCUGGGCAAUACCAUUAGGCAUGGGCAAAGACUUCAUGUCUAAAACAUCAAAAGCAAUGGCAACAAAAGGCAAAACUGGCAAAUGGGAUCUAAUUAAAAUAAAGAGCUUCUGCACAGCAAAAGAAACUAUCAUCAGAGUGAACAGGCAACCUACAGAAUGGGACAAAAUUUUUGCAAUCUACCCAUCUGACAAAGGGCUAAUACCCAGAAUCUACAAAGAACUUAAACAAAUUUACAAGAAAAAAACAACCCCAUAAAAAAAUGGUCAAAGGGUAUGAACUGACACUUCUCAAAAGAAGACAUUUAUGCAGCCAACAGACAUAUGAAAAAAUGCUCAUCAUCACUGGUCAUUAGAGAAAUGCAAAUCAAAACCACAAUGAGAUACAAUCUCACGCCAGUUAGAAUAGCGAUCAUUAAAAAGUCAGGAAACAACAGAUGCUGGAGAGGAUGUGGAGAAAUAGGAACGCUUUUACACUGUCGGUGGGAGUGUAAAUUAGUUCAACCAUUGUGGAAGACAGUGUGGCGAUUCUUCAAGGAUCUAAAACUAGAAAUACCAUUUGACCCAGCAAUCCCAUUACUGGGCAUAUACCCAAAGGAUUAUAAAUCAUUCUACUAUAAAGACACGUGCACACGUAUGUUUAUUGCGGCACUAUACACAAUAGCAAAGACUUGGAACAACCCAGAUGUCCAUCAAUGAUAGUCUUGAUUAAGAAAACAUGGCUCAUAUACACCACAGAAUACUAUGCAGCCAUAAAAAAGGAUGAGUUUGUGUCCUUUGCAGGGACAUGGAUGAAGCUGGAAACCAUCAUUCUCAGCAAACUAUCACAAGAUCAGAAAACCAAACACCACAUAUUCUCACUCAUAAGUGGGAGCUGAAGAAUGAGAACACAUGGACACAGGGAGGGGAACAUCACACACCGGUGCCUGUGGGGGGUGGGGGGAUAGAGGAGGGAUAACAUUAGGAGAAAUACCUAAUGUAGGUGAUGGGUUGAUGGGUGCAGCGAACCACCAUAGCAUGUGUAUACCUAUGUAACAAAACUGCAUGUUCUGCACAUGUAGCCCAGAACUUAAAUUAUAAUAAAUAAAUAAAUAAGUGGUCUGGAGGAACCAGACCAUCAUUAGUUUGC